GCCCCACCCAGUAUGGGGGUUAUGACUCUCGAAUUGUAAUCGAGAGGGUUCGGGUUCAAAUCCCAAGUAAGGCA